GAUGAACGCUGGCGGCGUGCCUAAUACAUGCAAGUCGAGCGAACGGACGAGAAGCUUGCUUCUCUGAUGUUAGCGGCGGACGGGUGAGUAACACGUGGAUAACCUACCUAUAAGACUGGGAUAACUUCGGGAAACCGGAGCUAAUACCGGAGAAUAUUUUGAACCGCAUGGUUCAAAAGUGAAAGACGGUCGUGCGGUCACGUAUAGAUGGAUCCGCGCUGCAUUAGCUAGUUGGUAAGGUAACGGCUUACCAAGGCAACGAUGCAUAGCCGACCUGAGAGGGUGAUCGGCCACCCUGGAACUGGGCCACGGUCCAGACUCCUACGGGAGGCAGCAGUAGGGAAUCUUCCGCAAUGGGCGAAAGCCUGACGGAGCAACGCCGCGUGAGUGAUGACGGUCUUCGGAUCGUAAAACUCUGUUAUUAGGGAAGAACAUAUGUGUAAGUAACUGUGCACAUCUUGACGGUACCUAAUCAGAAAGCCACGGCUAACUACGUG
rnacentral:rRNA from 1 species